CGUAGCAAUACGUUAGUGGCGGAAGGGAUAGUAAUGUAUGGAUUACCUGCCCUCUGGUCGAGGAUAGCGGUGGGAAACUGCCGGUAAUACUCGAUGAAAUCUCCGGAUCAAAGGUGUGACUCCGCCGGAGGAUGGGUCCAUAUCCUACUAGCUUGUUGGUGUAGUAAUGGUGCACCAAGGCUUAGAUGGGUACCGGGCGUGAGAGCGUGACCCGGAUCACUGGGACUGAGACACUGCUCAGACACCUACGGGUGGCUGCAGUCGAGAAUCUUCGGCAAUGGACGAAAGUCUGACCGAGCGACGCCGCGUGUGUGAUGAAGGCCUUCGGGUUGUAAAACACUUUCGUUUGGGAGGAAAUGUAUGGGGGUGCUCCCCUGUAUUUGACCUAUCUUAGGAAGAAGCUCGGGCUAAGUUCGUGCCAGCAGCCGCGGUAAGACGAACCGAGCAAACGUUAUUCGGAAUCACUGGGCUUAAAGGGUGCGUAGGCUGUCUGCUAAGUGGGAUGUGAAAUCCCUCAGCUCAACUGAGGAAUUGCGUUUCAUACUGGUGGACUUGAGGAAGGUUGAGGUAAGCGGAACUUGCGGUGGAGCGGUGAAAUGCUUUGAUAUUGCAAGGAACAUCGGUGGCGUAGCGGCUUACUGGGCCUUAUCUGACGCUGAGGCACGAAAGCCAGGGUAGCGAACGGGAUUAGAUACCCCCGGUAGUCCUGGCUGUAAACGCUGAGCACUUGGGUCGGAGGACACUCCAUAGUUUUCCGGCCGGGAGAGAAAUUGUUAAGUGCUCGCCUGGGGGGGAAGUAAUGGUCGCAAGGCUGAACUCAAGGGAAUUGACGGGG
rnacentral:rRNA from 1 species